CAAGGACAAUAACUACCAUGGUUUCCAGUGCUUUGAUGAAACCAAACGCCAUGCAUCUGAGGUUUUAUGUUGUUGGAGCAUUCAUUGCAUCCCUGGGGGUUGCAGCUCUCUGUAAGUUUGCUGUGCUGAAGCAAGAAAUAAGGCAUAUGCAGAUUUCUUCAGAAAUUAGGAUUCCAUGAAAGAUAUUGAGGAGAUGAGGAAGGCUGGUAUCUUUCAGAGUGCAAAG
rnacentral:lncRNA from 1 species